rnacentral:piRNA from 1 species
UGCUGAGGUGUAACCAUUUGUGUUGUC